rnacentral:rRNA from 1 species
UGCCAGACAGGGAAACUGCGUACGGCUCAUUACACCAGCCUUAAUUUACUUGACCUUGACAACCUACUUGGAUAACUGUGGUAAUUCUAGAGCUAAUACAUGCACCAAAGCUCCGAUCCCUUGCUGGAGAGGAGCGCAUUUGUUCGCCACAAAACCAAGCGCCCUCACGGGCGUUCAGUGUUGACUCAGAAUAACUAAGCUGAUCGCACGGUCUUGCACCGGCGACGUGUCUUUCAAGUGUCUGCCUUAUCAACUUUCGAUGGUAGUGUACCUGACUACCAUGGUGAUGACGGGUAACGGAGGAUAAGGGUUCGACUCCGGAGAAGGGGCCUGAGAAAUGGCCACUACGUCUAAGGAUGGCAGCAGGCGCGCAAAUUACCCACUCUCAAUUCGAGGAGGUAGUGACGAGAAAUAACGAGACCGUUCUCACAAGAGGCCGGUCAUCGGAAUGGGUACAAUCUAAACCCUUUAACGAGUAUCUAUGAGAGGGCAAGUCUGGUGCCAGCAGCCGCGGUAAUUCCAGCUCUCAAAAUGCAUAGAAUUAUUGCUGCGGUUAAAAAGCUCGUAGUUGGAUCUGUGCUGGCCGUCCGGUCUACCCACUGGGUACGUACUGGUAUGGUCGGCUUUCUGUCCGGUUUCUCCCGGCGUUGGCCUUCACCGGUCGGCGACGGUGGCUGGACAAGUUUACUUUGAACAAAUCAGAGUGCUUCAAACAGGCGUUUCGCUUGAAUGUUCGUGCAUGGAAUAAUAGAAGAGGAUUUCGGUCCGAUUUUAUUGGUUUUGCUGACCGAGAUAAUGGUUAACAGAGACAAACGGGGCCAUUCGUAUUGCUACGUGAGAGGUGAAAUUCUUGGACCGUAGCAAGACGGA